UACGUAGGGGGCAAGCGUUGUCCGGAAUUAUUGGGCGUAAAGAGCGCGUAGGCGGCCAGAUAAGUCCGCUGUGAAAUCUCGAGGCUCAACUUCGAGCUGUCGGUGGAAACUGUCUGGCUAGAGUCCGGAAGAGGAGAAUGGAAUUCCUGGUGUAGCGGUGAAAUGCGCAGAUAUCAGGAAGAACACCCGUGGCGAAGGCGGUUCUCUGGGACGGUACUGACGCUGAGACGCGAAAGCGUGGGGAGCGAACAGG
rnacentral:rRNA from 1 species